UGAAGCUCAUAACAGCAUAAACGUGGAACAUGUGUUUUCUUUCAUUUUUUUAUCUUCUUUUUAUGUGUGAGAAUACCACAAAAGGGUACCCAGUGAUGCAAAAUUAAUUUACCAUACAUUUUGAACUAUAUUCGGAAUAUUUUUGCAAGUUUUGAACCCGGAAUUACGAGUUUUAGCUAAUCCGGUGCGGUUUAUAGUCCGAAAACUACGGUAAACAGAACAUUUGUUGAAAAUGAGUGACCCCCCAUUUAAAAAAUGGUUGCUGCUUCACCAUAUUCUGUGCACAGUGGGAUGUUCCCUCCCCUCUCAGCAGGUGUCAUUGAGGUGCCUCAUCUCCAUCAUAUGAUCCGUCUGCUGUCAUGUCCAUGGACAGUAUGCUCUGUACGCCCGAAGCAAUCAUGCUGAUCUGCGGUCAGCUGUUCAGACAGUGUUGCAUGUGGAAGUCGACAUUAUCUGAAGAAUGUGUCUGUCUGUGCUCUGAAAUGUGGGCGCCUACACAAUGCCGCCUCAGUCUACAGAUCAAUAUAGCAAGGGUCAUGGCCUGUUGCAUCAUCACCACAAAGCCCUCCUAUUCAUUCACACCAGCUAAUAGAUGUUGGGAGGCAGGAAACGAUCCAAAUCUGGAACGCUUGGUGGCUAUAUUCUGCCUGAGAAUCUUUUCCCAGAGGUAAAUAUAGCGAGCUCUUUUGCAAAAUCGCACUGCCACCUGGUGGUAUAAGUGACAAUGACAAAUAUGACCGUUAUACUCAGUGGUUGGGAGAGUAGCCAACAAUUUUAACCGAAUACUCUUGGUUUAUAUGAUUUAACUUGAAAAAGAAAAAGAAACAAAGGCUUGGAAUAUUUCAAUACAAGACUGAAAUUAAAAUACUGAACUGUUGACCAAACUACGCUCCAAAAACUCGUCAAUUCGUCUAUGACCAUAGUAUUUACCUGCAACGGCCUGCCGUCCUCAGAGCCAAUCAUAUUCCUCCACUCCAUCAGCGAUCUCUGCAGCGUGUCCAAUCCCGUUUCCCAGAGUCGCACGUAACCGCCCAUGUCCACCGUGACCACGCCGCCCGUGCUGAGCGGCGCCAUCAGGAUAUCAGUCUCCGACAUCUUGGACAGCCAACCAGUGUAGGGUGACACGGACAUUGACCUGCCAACCACGACAGUGCAGUGCGUUUGGGAUUUGGUCAUACUUUAUAUAAUCUGCACUAAGUAUUGUACUCAGGGAUAGUGGUAUGGUUCAAUAUGGUUCAAAAACACAAAAUACAAUUUCUUCUUUGACACAAAAUGUUGAACACUUGGACAUUCGUUCGAAAAUGUGGAGAGCGUCAAAUCACAAGUUACAAUGCAUUUUAGGCUAAUCCAGAAAUUUUACCUGAAAGUAGAAUAUCAUUACAUUGUUUGAUUGUGAUUGUUGUAUUUGUUCAACAUGAUACUUUAUAAUGUCAAACUGUUCAAUCUACCAAAUAACAAACAGCCUUAUA